GGCGGCCGGACUGGGAAGAUGGACGCAGCUACUCUGACCUACGACACUCUCCGGUUUGCUGAGUUUGAAGAUUUUCCUGAGACCUCAGAGCCCGUUUGGAUACUGGGUAGAAAAUACAGCAUUUUCACAGGUAUCGGCCAUGCUGGAGCCCACCCUGGUCUGACCGCUUGGCCUGCAGAAGCAUUUUGUGAUCACUGUUCUCUGCUAACUCUGCCAUAACUUGUGACUUGCAAACUUAAGGCGUUGUGUGUGUGUGUUUUUUUUUUCUUUUAAACAACCUCUAGAAAAGGACGAGAUCUUGUCUGAUGUGGCAUCUAGACUUUGGUUUACAUACAGGAAAAACUUUCCAGCCAUUGGGGGGACAGGCCCCACCUCGGACACAGGCUGGGGCUGCAUGCUGCGGUGUGGACAGAUGAUCUUUGCCCAAGCCCUGGUGUGCCGGCACCUAGGCCGAGAUUGGAGGUGGACACAAAGGAAGAGGCAGCCAGACAGCUACUUCAGCGUCCUCAACGCAUUCAUCGACAGGAAGGACAGUUACUACUCCAUUCACCAGAUAGCGCAAAUGGGAGUUGGCGAAGGCAAGUCCAUAGGCCAGUGGUACGGGCCGAACACUGUCGCCCAGGUCCUCAAGAAGCUUGCUGUCUUCGACACGUGGAGCUCCUUGGCGGUCCACAUUGCAAUGGACAACACUGUUGUGAUGGAGGAAAUCAGUAAGUGGCUCAG
rnacentral:sRNA from 1 species